AAGAACAAAGGAAGAAAAGAAGAACAAAAAUCCUAGAGUGAAAAUUCAAGAGAAAAUUGGUGGAUUUCAAUUAAUCAAGCAAUCAAAGGUAAAAUUUCUUGAUUUUUACUUGUGAUCAAUCUUUCCCACGCAUUCUUUUGCAUUUUCCAUGGUUGAAUCACAUGAUUUCAUGAUGGGUCUCUUGCUGGCCGAACACUUAGAGAGAGAUUUUAAUGGUUGUUUUGAUUAGAUUUUAAGAUAUUCUAGUGUUUUUAGUUGAUUAGUGAUGUGUAGCAUGAAAAUCAAGCAAGAAAAAUUCAUGUUCUUCCAUAACCCUCAUUGGCCGAAUUCUCCAUGUGGAAUAUUGAUGAUGACUUUGAUUUUUUUUUUUCAAGUGAAUUGGUUAGGAAAUGAUGAAUUAUGGUGAGAAAAUCAAGUAGGAAAAACCAUAGUGUUGAUGCACCCACCAUGGCCGAACUUCUCAAGAGAAAAUGUGAAAAUGAUUUUGCUAAAUUUUUUGCUAUUUGACUUGUGUUUGAUGGUUUGGUGAAUUGGAAGAAAAAUGGAGUAAUUGGAGACUGUUUUCUAUGUUAUAAAUCAUGGUUUGAAUUGAAUGGCUUAUGAUAAUGUGGGCAUGAGUGGCUGGACUAGUAAUUGUGCUAAACAUAUAUGAACUAUUGUUUGCCUUGAUAGGCUGGAUAAUGAUAAAAUUGCCAUGUCAUGCUGUUGAAUUUUAUUGAAUUGGUGGGUUAUAGAUUGGUCACCGCAGUGGCGGGUUCUGUGGACCAACCUAUUAGAGAGGCACGAAAUCUUGUUAUAUUCUAACCUCGAUUGGAGAGGUGCGUAAGGUAACUCCCGAGGUAAAACUUUAGAGUUCACUUCAUGUUAAACCACCACGUGAGGGUGAACUCAGCCAAUGCUACGGAACGGCUAUGUUUUCAAAAUAAAAACAUGAUUUAUGCGUACAUAACUUUUUAACAACCUUGGUAGACUUGGUUGGGAUAGCCCUCGGCCAAGGUAUCCCUUACAACUGAGUAUGAGAAUAAUUUUGGCACAAGCCAAGUUUUAAGAAAUUCAUAAGCCAUGUUGAUUACUCGAUUUAAAUGAAUUGAUUUUAAUUUGUUGAAAUGAGUUGAAAAGUGAUGAAUUACAGUAUGAUGAUUUAUUUCAUUUGUCUCCAUUUAGUCGACUUUAGAUAUUUUGGAUGAUGUUUGUUUACUCACUGAGAUUAUAUAAUCUCAGCACCCUUCUUUCUACCACUUUCAGGCUCAGAAUAGUCGGUAGAUAGCUCAUUUCAUUAAAAGCUACCGUUGGAUUUGCAUCCUGCAAACUGCAGGUUCAUAGCCUUUAUUACUUUUGGUUAUUCGAGGGCCCACUUGUUAUUGUGAAUUAAAUCUUAUACUUUGGUUAUUUGUAUUACAGUAUGUAUGAAUUUAUUUAGCUUUUUAUGCUACAAAAAUUAUUUACCGAUAACUCUAUAAAUAUUGUUUUAUAAGAAAAUAGAAUAUUUUAUUGAAUAUUUUUAUUAUAUUCAAAAAGGUAUAGUUUCACUUUAAAUGAAUGUUUUAGACAUCUAAACUUAUUUUUUAUUAUGAAAUAUGUGUUAUCCACUCGCAUACUACAUUUUUAGUUGGUUUCGAGAUUUUGAGGAAAAAUGACCAAAAUGUCCCUAUGAGAAAAAAUUUAUUUUUCUAUUGUUUUGAUUUGGAAAUAGUUUAUAAUCUCUCAAAACAUGAUACUUAACAACUGUUGCUCACAGGGGAGGUGCGAAAAUUGAUAUUAAAGCCUUGCAAGGUUCCGGUUGGCAUUUCAGGCAAUGAAUGUCCAUUGGGAUGUCGCGACGGUUGUCACGAGCUCGAAGGGAGUACCGGGUUGUGACAACUUUUCUAGUUGAUGGAUGGCAUUCGCUUCAUGUUUCCCAAUGCAAACAUUGAAUUAUGAUUGCUUUUAACCAAAAUUGAAAAUGAUUUUUAUUUAAAAUCGUUUAUAAGAUUAUAAAACCAUUUAUAGCAAUUAACAAGACUUUCGAUGGCAUGCAUGACUAUAAAUGGAGUUUUCUUAUCGAUUGAU
rnacentral:lncRNA from 1 species